rnacentral:rRNA from 1 species
GACGAACGCUGGCGGCGUGCUUAACACAUGCAAGUCGAACGGUGAAGCGCCUUCCUUUUUGGUGGGUGUGGAUGAGUGGCGAACGGGUGAGUAACACGUGAGUAACCUGCCCCCUUCUUCUGGAUAACCGCAUGAAAGUGUGGCUAAUACGGGAUAUUCUGGGUCUGUCGCAUGAUGGGUCUGGGAAAGAUAUUGUUUCGGUGGGGGAUGGGCUCGCGGCCGAUCAGCUUGUUGGUGGGGUGAUGGCCUACCAAGGCGGUGACGGGUAGCCGGCCUGAGAGGGAGGACGGUCACACUGGGACUGAGACACGGCGGGACUCAGACGGGAGGCAGAAGUGGGGAAUAGUGCGCAGUGGGGGCAAGCCUGAUGCAGCGGCGCCGCGGGAGGGGUGGAGGCGUGCGGGUUGUGAACCUCUUUCGGCAGUGAAGCAGGCCUGCCUCGUUUGUGGGUGGGUUGACGGUAGCUGGAUAAGAAGCGCCGGCUAACUACGUG